rnacentral:rRNA from 1 species
CUUUACAGGGGGUUAACACAGGUAAUAUUUUUCUAAAUCCCGCAUAAUUAUAUUUUUACGUCUGGUUGAGUGACGGAAACGGAAACACUAAAAAGGGGAGCUACGCGUUAUAUUAGAUAGUAGGUGGGGUAUCGGCCUAUCAAUUCAACGAUAGUUAGCCGACCUGAGAGGGUGAUCGUCCUCAUCGAAACUGAGACACGCUCCAGACUUAUACUUAAGGCAGCAGUAGGGAAUAUUGGGCAUUGGGCGAAAGCCUAACCCAGCAACGCCGCGUGAGGGAAGUAGGUUCUCAGAUUGUAAACCUUUAUCCUUGGUGAAGAUAACGACGUUAGCCAAGAAGGAAGCCCCGGCAAACUUCGUGCCAGCAGCCGCGGUAAUAUGUAGGGGGCAAGCGUUGUCCGCAAUGAUUGGGCUUAAAGGGCUCGUAGGCGGCUAAUCAAGUUUGGAGUGAAAGUCAUGCUUUUAAGCUGGGAAUCGCUUUGGAAACUGAAUAGCUUGAGUUUAGGAGAGGUUAGUGGAAUUCCCAGUGUAGCGGUGAAAUGCGUAGAGAUUAGGAGGAACACCAGUGGCGAAGGCGACUAACUUGACUAUAACUGACGCUGAGGAGCGAAAGUGUGGGUAGCAAACACGAUUAGAUACCCUGGUAGUCCACACUGUAAACGAUGAAUGCUAAAAGUAGGUGGUAUCGACCCCAUCUGUGCCGCAGUAA